CCAAGUUUGAGAGCUGCACCAAAUAAACAUGGCUGCCUCCCCGCCAGCAGCAGACGUGAUGGACACAGGCGACGAAAUGAACUCUGUAAUGGACUCUAAUGAGCGUUUGGCACCAGAAAAUGGAGAGGAAGCCGGAGAGAAAGACUCGGGUAAAACUAAACAACCAGAAGCGGAGGAGCCUUUCAAGAAACCGGCUCUUUUUGCGGCGCCUAGCUUCACCGCAAAACGCACCAACGUCACUGCUCCGUCCAAACCCAUCACAGAAAAUAAAGCUGAUGGCGAAGGCAAAACCUCUGAAAAAGGCCAAGAAAAGGACAAAAAGUCCGAAAAGGACAAAACCAAACCAGAAGCUAAACCUCGAGCGCUCACUACUAAAGCCCCCCAAGUUGGCAAAUUACCCCCUCUCCCCUACACAGAGCCUCCCUGGGGUGGCACUGCUUCGGAUACCCCGUACGCUCUUGAAAUCCUAAAAAAUGGCACCAUAGUGGAUCAGGUACCAUUAGUGGACAAGAGCUACUUUGUGGUUGGACGUUUACCUGUGUGCGAUCUCUCCCUGGAGCACCCCUCUAUCUCCAGGUACCACGCAGUGAUUCAAUACCGUGGAGAGGCCGGGGAGGACGCGGGCUGCAUGGGAGAAGAGAAGGGCUUCUACAUCUACGACUUGAGCAGCACGCACGGCACUGUGGUGAACAAGAACAAGAUCCCACCGAAAACUUACAUCAGAGUCCGCGUGGGGCACGUGUUGAAGUUUGGAGGAAGCACGAGGCUUUUUAUCCUGCAGGGUCCAGAGUUUGAUGAGGAAGACGAGUCUGAACUGACAGUGACAGAGUUGAGGGAAAAAGCUCGCAAACAGAAGGAAGAGCUGGAGAGGAGGAUGAUGGGAGAUGGUUCUGAUGAGGAAAAAGAAGAAAAGGAGGAGGAUGAAAACAGGGACGAUGGCAGAGUGUCAAAUGAAGACUCUGGCUGUUCGUGGGGAAUGGCCGAAGAAGCAGCUCCAGAGGAAGACGAGAACGAGGAAAACCCCUUUUCAACAGAAUUCCACGAAGACCAGGAAGCAGCCUACCUGAAGGACCCCAAGAAGGCUUUGCAGGGCUUUUAUGACAGAGAAGGGGAGGAGCUGGAGUUUGAGUAUGAGGACAAGAACCACGGCACCUGGCUUUGUAGAAUAAAGCUGCCGGUGGACGACGCUAUGGGUCGUCAGCUGGUUGCAGAGGUGACCCACACAGGAAAGAAGAAAGAAGCUGCCAUCCAGUGCUGUCUUGAGGCGUGUCGCAUGCUGGAAGCCAGAGGGCUGCUGCGCCAGGAAGCAGUGUCCCGUAAGCGCAAGAAGAAGAACUGGGAAGACGAUGACUACUAUGACAGCGAUGAUGACACCUUCCUGGAUAGAACCGGCACAGUGGAGAGGAAAAGGCAGGAACGAAUGAAGAAAGCGGGAAAGCUCGAGGAGCAGCCUGAGACCUAUGACUCACUGGUGGCCAAACUGGAAGAGGUGGAGAAGGAGUUGGCAGAGACUCAGAAAAAGCUCAGUGCUGGAAAAGGAGAGUCUUUGACGUCAUCGACUGAGGACUCGCUGGAGGCCUUCAUGACCGCAGUGAAAAGCGAGGUAGCGAUGGACGCGGUGGAGCGCAGGAAGCUUCACGUGCACAUGGCCGACUUGCGGAAAGAUGCUCAGAGGCUCCGCAAACUGGUUGAACUCACGAGGCCGGCGCAAAUGCCCUCCUUGCUGCCCGGCAGCUCAGAGCAGAAGUCGAAAAAGACCCUGCCGAUGUUUGGAGCCAUGAAGGGAGGGAGCAAAUUCAAACUGAAAACUGGUACUAUUGGGAAGUUGCCUCCUAAGCGGCCUAACCUGCCUGCUGAGCUCUUCAACAUGAAAGAACUUCCACCUGAUGGGGAAGAAGAGGAGGAGGAGGAAGAAGAAGAAGAAAAAGCACAAGAAGAAGAGGAGGCAGUGGCAGACAAAAGUGAGGAUAAUGAUGAACUACCUGGUAAAGGUAUUGCUGAGUCCGGCGCAUCGACGUCUAAAGAAUCGUCUCCCUCUGAGAAUAAAAGAGAUCAACUCAAAGUCUCAGAACACCUGAAAGAUCAAAGCCACAAACAGCAGAGGAGGAGCGGGGAGUCUGAAGCAGCGGAGCAGGUUCCCGAGCAUAGCAGCAACAAGCCGGUGGCCCUUUUGAGUCCAGAGUCCAAAUCCAAAGGUGCCGGCAAGCCAGCGACAGACCCCAGCCCCAAGAAAAAGAAGACAGUGAUGGGCCCCGGCAGGCCUCCUUUGCAGCUGUCAGCACAGUAUCCACAAGACGACCCCGAUUAUUCUGUGUGGGUGCCUCCUGCAGGUCAGACUGGAGAUGGACGCACACACCUAAAUGACAAGUAUGGCUACUGAGGGGGAAACGUAACAGAGCUCUUCUGUUUCUACGCGAGAUAAUACCUGCAGUACAAAGCCUCCAGUCUCCUUAGCCAUGACCAUUAACCCCCUCCAGCCCAGCCCAACCACUGUUUAACAACACAGAAGCCUGUAACAGAGCGGGACGGGCUGAGACACUCCCUCUCACACACACAAAGAGCGUUUCUCUGGCUGCGAUAGAGUACAAAGAGGCUUCUGGUCUUGGCUGUAGGUCUUUGCAGUGACCUACUAAUCAGCCGAUGGAUUCCUGAAACACAGGGAGACCCUUCUCAGGCACAGACAGCAUGAUGAAACAUAAGCUUGAACACAGGCAAUACAACAGGAAAAAGUAGAAGAUUAAUAAAUUUUUGGAUUUUCUUUUGUCCUGUCAAACUCUACCGAUCUAAAACCAUCAUUUUUGAGAAAAGCCCUAGAAUCAUCAACAAGGAUUUCUGCUGAAUACAGUGCCUUAUGUUUUGUUCGGUGGUGGUUUUAUAUAAGCAACAACUUCCUGGAUUUUGUUUUUGCUGCCAGAGAGCACCUGUCAGAUCAGCCUUCAGAACCAGUUGGCACUUCCUUCCUUAGAGGUAAACUGUAGUUUGGGGUUGACAGCUGGCCAGGAGGCAGUGAACAUAAAGUGGUAGAAGAAAAAUAUUUAAAUAAAUUUUUAACUUUUGCAGAAAUCAAACUGAAAAUAAUAAUAAUAAUAAUAAUAAUAAUGUGGCUGAGCAAUUUGUCCUGGGUGUAAUUUUAGGUAAGGUGGGGAUUUGUCUCUACCUCUUUACAUUUCACCUAAACCAAGAGUCUUCCAUCAGCAGAAAAUAUUUUACUGGUGUUGUUUCCCUCCCUUUUUCCAGGUGUUGCACAGAGCAGAGCUGGUAUGCAAUUCACUUGUGAGCUUUGUUGUUUUGUCAUAGGUUCCAUUUAGAACUUUUUAUUGACAGAACUAGAAAAUGUAGCCAGUGAGCAUCCGCCUGUUGGCUUCAUUUAAGUAUUAGGCACAUUUUAAUUUCAUGCAUUUGACCUGGAGCAGCUGAGAAAUUGUAGCAGCAGCCUUGUAGUGAUGACCUUCAAAACAAACUUCCGUUUGUGUAUAAGAAGCAGCUGCUGUGGUGGUUGAAUUUACUACCACUAAAGGAAGGCUUUGUUUUGUUAAACUACAGCUGACAAAUGGCAUCAACAUUAGCUAACUAAUUGUUUAUUGGCUUCACUGUAAGAAAAAUUAAGGGCUGUAUGUGGGUUUAGUUAAAUUGAGGUAAAUGUAAAUAUUUCUUUAAGCCGUUUAGCUGUGUGCAUGCCUAUCCAUUAAAAAAAAAACAAAAAAAAAAACUGCUUUGCAAGCGCCCCCUGUUGUGCCUCAGGCUAAACUGCAGCCAAUUUCUGUACAACGUGAUUAAUGGGAGUCGCCGCCACUCUACAGAUCUACCUUUGCAGAGUGCUGCAGGGAUUUUUCUUUUUUGGGGGCUAAAACUUUGCGUCACAAAUCAGAAAUCCAGAUCCAUCUGCUGUGGCAGUGCCUCUGGAACAAGGAAACAGCCAAAAGAAGCUAUUGGUUACAAAAAGUUUCAUAAUCAAUUAUUGCAGAAAAUAACUUUAACGGAAAUAAAGAAAACAAGAUAUUUUAGUCAUAAACCAAGGCCAUUUUGAAUCUAAAAUUUAAUCUCAAUAUAUAAAACACAAAUUUUAGGCUAUAAAGCACCACAAUCAGCAUCAGUUGUCCACUUAAGGAUUUACGACACCAUAAACUCUCUCGAUGGUCCCCAAAUACAAAUGAUAACAUGACAUCGUUAAACUAUGAAGGGGCUGCUGCUUCAGAGUAUUAACUGAGCACGCUCCUGGUCAUACUUCUCACCUGAUGUGCUGACUUCAGGCAUGGAGACAGUGGACCUUCAAAUGAAAAGUGCCCUGUAGCUGCCAGAGACCCAGACCUCAUCACCAGCAAGGAUCCUUCACACAAGGAUAAACAGUCCAGGGAAUCCCAUGAAGUGGCUGAAACCAGACGCCAUCACUCUUGCCUGCUACAGCCGGGGAAGCUCUCAUCAAUAAACUCUCCUAUUCACCUCCAGGCCCUGAGGGGGAGGCCUCAGCAGCAGCUACAGGGUCCAAAGCUGUGUUUUCAUUCUGCUUACACAAAUCCCCCACCGCCACCACCAUCAACCUCCUCAACCCCUGUAACAACUCCCAUGCUUGAAAACUUGAGUCCAGUUUCAACCCCCUCCUGCACCCACCCAGCGAGAUCCAGUGCCUUGGUGCUGGAUCUUGGCCAGGAAACCGUGGGUCGACAGAAGGAGAUGGAAGGGGGAAAAAGUGCACAAAGAGUGGACACAAGCUUCCAAAUGGCUCAUCAAUCCACUGUGCACUCACUUUGAGACAAAAAUCUCUGAACUGGAAGAAACACAGUGCCCACAGACGUCACUGACGGGGACAUCAGCAACACUACCAGCUUCACCAGUGAGAACACGGGAUAAUGAGCAAUAUCUCCACGUAUCAGUGGAACUAAACAGAUAGCAGCCGGCCAGGCUAUAAAUGGAAAAUGACUCCAUCCCUGGAAAUACACCACAAGGGAACCGCACACACUCUACCUCCUCCUCCUCAGCUCCAUCUCUCAUCGCCACCUCGGUUUUUUACAUUUUCACUCAUCAUCAUGCAGGACUGAGGUAUACUCGAUGCUGUUACAGUCGCUGUGUGUACGUGUGCACGCACAUGUGUGCGCUCAUAAACAAGUGUGUGAUAAGGUUCCACUGACACUAUCCCACACGACGUGAUAAUAACGUCACUUUUCUCACCACACUGUGCCUCCUUCUGGAGCGCCCUCCUCUGUGCCAAGACGACAAAGCUUGUUCCAGCCUCCAGCUCUCCGUCCUUCUAAGCAAAAAUCACCAUGUACACAGUCUCAUUGCUGAUGAUUAAUUGUUGGCCGUUGCGUUUGGACUUCUUUGGGAAAUUCCUGUUGUAUUUACAGAAGUAUUCAGGCUGGUAAAUGUGCACUAAUGGGACAAGCGGAAAGCACAGCUAUUAAAGGCUGUUGAGUGAAAUCAAGAGAUCAAACAAACGUGAAAAGGAGGGCAUUUUUUCAUUCUUAGGCUAAUGUAUCACUGCAGUAAAGUUUGCAAAAGGAAUCCAAUGGCGCUAUCAGAUUUUCCACGGUCUCUAUAGCUCAGUAGCUAGUGGGGCAUGGGAACAAACGCUGCAGCCAGAUGCUGUCCCAGUAUGCAGUUGGAUGGAGAUCAAGGUGCUGGCAAUAAGGCAGGCCAGUCUGUUCACAGGGGCUGAGCAACCUCGCAACCUUAUCGCGACUGUAAUGGAUACCCUGAUCUGGACUGCCCAUCAGCCAGCAUUAAAGGAAAGGCUGUGCAUGCAAAGUCGUGUUUAAAUUGAUUUCAAUUAAUUUACGUGUAAGACACACUUGAUAAUGAUAAUCUGCUUUGACUGGUUUUCUUCACUUUAUUUUUAGACUCUGUUACAGUAGCUUUGUGUGAUUCACAGUUCAAAAUCAUUCUUAUUUAUCUUAUACUGCAGCCUGUUGGUGCAUCCUCUGUAAGAGCUGACUAUAUCAGGAAUUAGACCUGUCAUGAUUUUAGAUUUUCAUAUACCAGGCAUUUCUAAAGACUGCCGAGACCCAUCUGGAAAUCUGAAAAUCGUCUGCGGCUCGCCCAAAACUAUAAUUACAGCUGUGAUAAUGACAUGAGCCUAAGUAGUAUUUCCUUCUUGGUGUUUUCAUUGCUUCUUUUUUUCCAGAUAAUUUGCAAGAUGGAGUUGAUUCAUUAACAGCUUUACGUCUGCUACCUGAUAGCCAGCUGCUACUGAUGAGAUACAAGUUCACGAUCAAAAAUAGGUCCAAAAAUAAACCAUAAUGUCUAGUUUAUUAUAAGAAUUUAUUCUCAUGUCCCAAUAUCCACCCUCAGCAGUUGGGUAUAGGACCACCAGGGCCUCCGCCCUUGACCACAGCCCAACACAUUUCCUCAGUGGCGGAAAUGAGCUUUCCUCGAAGGGUGACUGAUCUCUCCUUUUGAGUUGGGGUGAGAAGUUCAGUCAUAGAGGAGGAAGUAGGAGUAGAGCCACUACUUCUCCCCUUCAAAAGGAGCCAGUUGAGGUAGUUUGAACAUCUGUCUGACCAUGAUGCCUCCUGGGCACCUCCUCUGUGAGGCGUUGCAGGCAUGUCCUACCAGAUGAAGAACUGGAGGUAGACCAAGGACAUGCUGAAGAGAUUGGACCUCUUGCGUGGCCUUGUAACGCCUCAGGGUCCCCCUGGAUGACGUAGAGGAGGUGGCUGGGUAGAUGGAGGUCUGGACUCUGCUUAGACUACUGCUUCCGUGACCCAGCACGGAUAAGCAGCAGAUGAUGGGAGGAUGGAUCUUAAUUUCAAACUAAAUUUUCAAGUUAACUAGAACUUUAACCCGUUCAUACUUGGUUAACAUUCUAAUCUACCGUGAGUUGGACGACCUUCAGCACCGUUUUGAGUGAAGACCCAUUGUUGAGUGCAAGUUUCAUUAUAAUCUGACGAAUACUCAAGGAAAGAAUAAGAAGAAUGGUGUGAACUGUGAAGGAACGGACGUCUCAUCAUUGGAUAAGCUCACUGGUUCUUCAGCUAAAGAAGCUAAAUAUAUAUAACUAUUGUAAAUGACGUCAUGUAACCAUUGAAAAUUAUCAUUGAAAAUCAUGCUUAGAUGUAUUUAUUUUGUUAACAUGACUCUCUUAAGUCACUCUUAUCUCAAUAAGGCUAAACCAGUAUGAGCACUGGUUCAAAGUGAUACACGGGGAACUCGGUUUGUUCAAGUCUCGUAAAGUAAAAAUAGUGCAACUCACUGCAGUGACUCAAGGCCAGCAACAAAUUGAGCAGACACCUCUGAGUCAGUGUGUAGCUAGCGUUAGCUCAAAUGAGAGAAGAAAGGAGAAGACAAAAAGGCAAUUAAACUAAGAGUGAACUCAGCUUAGUGAGUCUCUCGGUGUGCAAGAGGAAAGUGAACUCUGUUAGCAGUUGUCACAUUGCUCUAAUUAGGCAUUAAGUGUGUAGAUGCUGUCUGCAGUGAGAGAGCUGUGAUAAACUGCAAAGUGAAUCUGUGGCUUUAACUGAUAGCACUGGGGGUUUUUUUUAUAUCACUUUUAUCUUCAACUUAGCAGCAUCUGUAUAUCAUGAUGAUGCCCCUGUUAAAGAUAUUACAACCCAUAAAUGGAACGCUUCAGCCUGAGCAGAAAAAAAAUAUUUUUACCCAGCAAUAAAAGUUCAAAACGAAGCUUUUAUUUUGCCCUCAUUUAAAUAUGGGAUCCUCUUUAUUAUCUUACAUGGAUGGUUUUUAAACAUGGCUACAGGCACUCACUGUUGGACCGCUCUACAUACAGAUUAACAACACCGCCAACCAAAAAAAAAUUUGGAUUCAUUACUCCAUAAGACUUGUUGUCACUGAUCUUCAGGCCAGUUCUUGAGUAAUUUGGCGUACCUUAGUCCUUUCAACCUGGUUCCCUUUCUAAAGAAUAGCUUCUUGACAGCCACCUUCCUCUGAGACCAUUUCUGAUGAAGGACAUACCUUCAAAUACUUUUCAUCUUCUGCAAAUACUUAUUUAAGCCCGCAACUUCUUCCUGUGUCCUCCACUUGUCCAGUUUCCUCACAUUUAUUAAGGACAAACUGCACAACCUGCCAAGUUUUCAGCUAUUAGUUCUUAGGGAAUCACCUUGUUGGCGUCAAAAUACUUUUAUAUGCCCAUCAAAUUGUGUUAUCUUUGGAGUUUUUCAUAGAUCCUAUUAAAACAUGGGGGACAGAUUUUUGCUUUCUUCUCUUUUGUGUAGACACAACACUCACUGGGUUGUGUGUCUUGGCUCCUUGGAAGCAAAAUAUAUGGAAAUGAGGCUUGGCUCAAGACUUUUGCACAAUACUGUCCACUUCAAGGGUUUACAGAUGGACUGACUGAUGUGGGAAAGCUAAAAAAAUAUAUUAUCAUCUGUUAUACCAAAACCCUCUAUACGUUGCAGUCAAAACUACUAACUUUGCUAACAAAUGCCAUUAGAGGAACAUUAUGAGCGCUUUGUCCCUUCAGAGCUCAUAACAGCCUGAAAACAUCACCAGCUGUUGUGUUGACAAUUUGUUUUAUUUCUUUUUUUUUUACUGCUAUCAGCUGUAGGAAUGUUGCGUACAGCUGAUAGCAGUAAACUUCAUAACCUUCACCGUGACAAUAUUCUCAAAACAUCUCGAGUGUUGCAGUCAAAAUGUUAUGUCUUAGCUGAGCUUUGAAGCUUACAGGAAUACUAUUCCAAUGUUCGCCAAUGUUGUGGGAGCGUUUCCUGCCAGCAGGGUAUUCGUGUGGCAAUGAAAGUGAACUCACCCGAAUCUUUAUGGUCCGUGUUUUCCCUCCGCAGUUCUUUUUCAGCAGCAUCUUCUGUGAAGACAAGAAGAAAGCACAGUGACUUUUCUAUCGAUAUUAAAACUUCAGCAGCAGCUCCUCUGUGACAAGAAGAGUAAAAGCUCCACACCUUUUCUUGUAGACUGAACUUUUUAUGAGAGAAAAUGACUGGUUAAAGCUAGUGUCGGUGCAUGUGAGUAUUUUUCUAUAAUCAGCCAUAUCAAAAACAGCAAAACACCAACACAUGAAAACAAAGUAGGCACCGGCUUAAUGUUUAAUUCGGGAUGAUCGAGGAAGUCAGCAAAUCCAGCUGUCUCACUCAAGUAUAAACAGUUGGUCAAUGAAGCUUAUGUAACAUCCUGUCUCCCACUCCCCUCCAUGACCACGCAGCUCCACUGUUUUCAGAAAAAAAAGAAAAAAGAAAGAAAACACAGUGGGGGUGGAGGGACCACACAAUCAUCGAAUUGUCUGGAGUCGCGGAGGUAGCUUCCAAAGGGGAAGGGAGCGCAGGAGAGAAUGGAAGCACCACAAGACUCCUGCUGCUGUGAUGUGGGAGACAGUCAGCGUGCACUUGCCCUCAUGCUCACCUCCUGCCAGCCCUCAUCUUUCUUUUUUUUCCCUCUUCCCAUCGGUGACUCUACAGUCUACAGUAUUUGGGUGCAAAAUGCUUGAAGAAGAAUUUAAAAACAAACCAAAUCCAAUGUUUAUUUUAGAUGCUACAUGUUUGAGCUGGCCUCGUGCAAACUUUCAAAGAACCCAUCUUAGAGAAAAAUCAAAGUGAUAAUUUUAUCCACCCCUGCACACCACCCUCACCUUAAACAGGUCACAGCUUGCCACGAGCUGUAGAAACGUGGGUACAGAACUUGUCUUCUAUGCAACAUGCUACAAAAAUAGCCUUGACUUAUCUAGGCUAAUCCUUGGUGAAAGCUAUAACCACUGUUUACAUCCAUGGGCCGCCUAGUUAAGAUGGAUGUAGACUCCAGGUUCUGAAAAGUGAAUCCAGGGCAUAAGUACUACCUUAACACUGCACUCUUAUAAUGGAUGGUAGUGUGAGGCCAUCGUUUGCACCUCUCUCCAGGCUAAAAAAUUUGGGGGUCUUGUUCAUGACCUGAGGACGAGUAAAGUCGACACGAAGGGUUUGGUACCAGCCUGUUGUGCUGAAUAGAUAUCAGACCAGAAAGCAAGCCUGUUGAUUUACUGCUCAAUCUACAUUCCUUCCUCACCUACGCCCACCAGCUGUGAGCAGUGAUGAAAACAAUAAGUGGACAGAAGCAGCUGAAACUAGCUUCCUCCUAAGGGGAGUUACGGAUGGAACAGGUAACUCUGAGCGCUCCCUCUGAACGGCAAUUGGCUUGGUACUGGGGGCUUCCCAGGAUGCAGUGGGUUAUCUUCAUUGACCUCUUUUCAUGAUAUAUGCCUAUACACCCCUCUGCAUUUAAUCAUUAGUUAUUUUUAAUCUCUCACUCUCUUUCACAGUGUGUCUUCCUCCCACCACCCCCAACUGGUCCCAGCAGAAGGCUGCCCCUCCCUAAGCCUGGGUCUGUCCUGUUAGAAGUUAUUCCUUCCCACUGUCACCAAGUGCUUGCUCAAUCCGAGCUGCUUUAUUGUUGGGGUUUUCUCUAUUCUACGCUCUUUACCUUACAAUAGAAGUGCAUUAAGGCAACUAUUGUUGUGAUUUAGUGCUAUGUAAAUAAUAUUGAAUUGAAGUGAAUUUAAUUGAAUCUUUGCUUUUUAGUUCUACUUAGCUUUCACAGUGGUGUUAUUCAUUUCAGUUUAACACUUAGUGUUUGGAUGACGGUGCAGAGAGCUAACAGGUCAGACCAGAAUCUCUCAUAGAUAACUGGCUGGGUUGAGACCUGGUGGGUGUGAAUGUUAUAGUAUAUGUAGCAAUCAAAACCAUUUUCACUUACAUCGGCAUAUAGUCAAUCACUUAGAACAACAUCUGUGCAGUUUGUGGGAAUGGACACGGACAAGCAAGCAUAAGGAGUUAUCAGAGACUAAAUGAAAGAACCCAUAAAUAAAUAAAUAAAUAAAGGCAUGACUCUAAUUAUUUACGGUCACACUGGGGAAUCAUAGACCUGCACGUUAGCCCCUGGUCUUAGAGAGGGAGCACCGGAGCCAAAACUAAGUGCACUGUCAAUAUCCUUCAGCAUUUAAGGACCAUUUCAACCUGAAGAAUUAAUAUUUUUUUCCAUGCACUCUUAUGGUAGUCUGAGGCCAUUGUUUUCACCUAGAAGAAAGUGGAGUGCCCACUCAGUGUUUGGGGAGUUGCUCAAACAUUUUGGGGUUUGUUCAUGAGCUGAGUGAAGACAGAGACCAACAGAUCAGUUUGGUACCAGCCCGUUGUGCCGAAUAGAGCAUGAAAGCAAGCCAGAUGACUUACUGCUCAAUCUACAUUCCUUCCUCACCUACGCCCACCAGUUAUGAGAAGUACUCAAAACAAUAAGAUUGUAGAUGCAAGUGACCGAAAUUAGCUUCCUCCUAAAGGAAGUAGGGCUGGAACAGGUAACUUAGCUAUGCUGCAAUAGUCUUGGGCUGCUGUGGGUGCAGUUAUCUUCACUCAUGUCUUUUCACUCUAUGUGUUUAUACACCACUCAGCAUUUAAUCAUUAUUAUUAUCAUUAGGGAGGCUGUCCCUCCCCAAGCCUGGUUCUGCCCUGUUAAAAGAGAGUUCUUCCUUCCCGCUGUCACCAAGUGCUUGCUCAUAACAGGUUUAUUUUUUGUUUUGUUUUUUUAAAUUGUUGGUUGGUUUUCUCACUAUUCUUGGCUUUUUACCUUAUGAUAUAAAGUGCUUUGAAGUGAAUUUAAUUCAAUCUUUUGCUAUUUUCACUCACAUCAGGAUACAGUCGAUCACUUGGAACAACUUUGACCAAGUCACUGUACAGUUUCCUUUAAAAUAUCAUCCAGUUUUUUGUUUUGCUCAAAUGACCAGCAUCUGCCACACUAACUAAAUUGAAUUUAUAUUGGAGUAUGCUACUGAACAUAACCCGGGAUUUAGUUUGCAGUAUCUGCAAGCCUCAUUUUGAACUAAAGGAACAGUCUUGUUGUUCUUCUUCUUCUUUUAUUGUGUUCAGAUUUGCUGUACAAAUAUCUUCCUGUAAGAUGAAGCUGUGUAAGCCCACCCACUCUGCAUGUACAGAGUUAUGGCUCUUGUUUUUUUUAUAGCUGUCUCUUCGAAAUGAAAAAAAAAAUAGACUAUGAGUCAAUCUAACUGAAAAUAAGCCUGGGAGGCUAUAUUUUGGGCCAAAUAUACUUAUUUCUUACUCUUCUCGUUUCUGGCCUUGAAAAUGCUUUUCCUUUGCUUGCAUGUCCAUUUGUAUGGUUUCAGGAUGUAGUUAAGAAUAUGUUUCAGGUGUUCCCUGCACCUUUGGCACAGAAUCCCCAUAUUUGACACCUUUAAAUUACAUUUUUAACAAGAACCGCAUCUCUUUCCCUUUCUUGCUCCCCUGGGGGCCAGAUUCAUAAAACUCAUGACUGAAGCUGCGUGUACGAGCACAGGCAGAAAUGCAUCCUUUUCAUUAGAUUUAUAAAGCCGUGCAUUGGCAUGGUCGUCUUUUAUAGAGCUCAGUCUUCUUGGCUAGUGCUCCUUAAUUAAUCAUUUGCAUAUAAAACACUGUUUGCACCAAAUUGCUUCUGGAACUCCGAACAGAAUAAAAACCAGAGGAUAAAAAAGGUUGUCAACUUUAUGUUCAUAGAAAAAGAGAGAAGUGGUUGUACUACAAAUGCGUGGGCGAGGUCCUCCACUAAAUGUCUGACAAUGUCUGGCAUUCUUAUGGUGUGCUCAGACCAAACAUAAUGUGAAGCUUUGCCAUAUAUAUCUUUCUAACACACAUUUAAGAUCGCUUUUGGGGGUAAUAAGAAAUUCAAGGUUUAUAAGCUAACUUUUUCCUGUACAAACACCAGUGAACAUGUGCUAUUUGUUGUACAUCAGACCCUGGAUGAGGUGUAGAAGUCGAAGCUGAUUUCAUGACUGGGAGAUGUCCAGCUAAAGGGUUAAUGUGUCUGCUGGCUACCUCUGUAGGCCCCCUUUUGUAUUCCCUGCAGCACCUCCCAUUCCACUUCACUGAGCGUGCACACACACACACACAGUGACACAGACAGGAGGAUGUACACAUGCAGACACAGACAGACAGACAGGCAGGAUGAUGGAUGCACACACAUAUACACAUCGACACACUACUUCUCUUUUUACACUUCACCCCUCUCGAAGUUGCCCGCUGUCUCUUAUCAUCUGUUCGUUCCCUCUAAAAACCCCACAGACAUAUGGACCCAUGAAACCUGCAGUUUCUCUCUUUGCAAAGACACACACACACACACACACA